rnacentral:rRNA from 1 species
AUUGAACGCUGGCGGCAGGCCUAACACAUGCAAGUCGAGCGGUUGAAGGGAGCUUGCUCCCUGAUUCAGCGGCGGACGGGUGAGUAAUGCCUAGGAAUCUGCCUAUUAGUGGGGGACAACGUUUCGAAAGGAACGCUAAUACCGCAUACGUCCUACGGGAGAAAGCAGGGGACCUUCGGGCCUUGCGCUAAUAGAUGAGCCUAGGUCGGAUUAGCUUGUUGGUGAGGUAAUGGCUCACCAAGGCGACGAUCGGUAACUGGUCUGAGAGGAUGAUCAGUCACACUGGAACUGUGACACAGUCCAGACUCCUACGGGAGGCAGCAGUGGGGAAUAUUGGACAAUGGGCGAAAGCCUGAUCCAGCCAUGCCGCGUGUGUGAAGAAGGUCUUCGGAGUGUAAAGCACUUUAAGUUGGGAGGAAGGGUUGUAGAUUAAUACUCUGCAAUUUUGACGUUACCGACAGAAUAAGCACCGGCUAACUCUGUGCCAGCAGCCGCCGUAA